CCUACGGGUGGCAGCAGUGGGGAAUAUUGGGCAAUGGGCGCAAGCCUGACCCAGCAACGCCGCGUGAAGGAAGAAGGCUUUCGGGUUGUAAACUUCUUUUGUCAGGGACGAAGCAAGUGACGGUACCUGACGAAUAAGCCACGGCUAACUACGUGCCAGAAGCCGCGGAAAUAGGUGGGUGGCAAGCUUUAUCCGGAUUUAAUGGGUGUAAAGGGCGUGUAGGCGGGUCUGCAAGUCAGAUGUGAAAACCACGGGCUUACCCGGUGGCCUGCAUUUGAAACUGUAGUUCUUGAGUACUGGAGAGGCAGACGGAAUUACUAGUGUAGCGGUGAAAUGCGUAGAUAUUAGGAGGAACACCAGUGGCGAAGGCGGUCUGCUGGACAGCAACUGACGCUGAGGCGCGAAAGCGUGGGGAGCAAACAGGAUUAGAUACCCUGGUAGUC
rnacentral:rRNA from 1 species